rnacentral:rRNA from 1 species
GGGUGAGUAACACGUGGAUAACCUACCUAUAAGACUGGGAUAACUUCGGGAAACCGGAGCUAAUACCGGAUAAUAUUUUGAACCGCAUGGUUCAAAAGUGAAAGACGGUCUUGCUGUCACUUAUAGAUGGAUCCGCGCUGCAUUAGCUAGUUGGUAAGGUAACGGCUUACCAAGGUAACGAUGCAUAGCCGACCUGAGAGGGUGAUCGGCCACACUGGAACUGAGACACGGUCCAG